GCAGCUGCCUGGCUUCUGGGGUUUUGCUCUGGCUGUGAGAAGUUGAAAAGAUUCAACUACAGGAGUGUAACGGAGCUUCGGAGUGGAAAUCAACGCUAAAAGUAGUUGCUUUCUUCCAAGGAUGAUACACUUUGUGCCAUGGUGGUGAAUUACCUGCAAAGUAUUAAUGCGGCUGCUGAACUGGAAAACUCAUUCACUGAAUCCUGUGAGGAGCAUUAUCUUGUGUGAACGAGAACCUUUUGUACAAAGAGAUCUCCUUGUACCUCCUCAGCACGUGCUAAUAAACUCACAAAUGAAGACAUAAAAGCAAGUCUUGAGAGAAGCCAAACAACUGAAAUAAGACAGCCAAUUAAUUUGAAAGUGCAUUUAUAGUUAAUGAAGUGUUCCUGAGUGCUUGAGUGCUGACAAGGAAUCUGUCGGGAAGUGUUUCUUGCUCCAAGGUAUCUAUUUGCAACAGAAGCCCUGAAUAGCAGCAUCUGUUGAAGAGCUUCUCAGUGCAUCCUCCCAGUUCAACUGUAUGUUGUUUGUAGUGUGUUUUUUUGUCCAGGCUACAGUAAGUAUAACUGUACCACAUUUCCCAAGGUUACUUAUAAAAUAUCAAGUAAAACAACAUUAAAAAAACGUUGGAGAAGGGGAAAUUACAUUUAUUUCACAUAUUUGUUCUUCACAAAUCCUUGUUGGAUAUUACUCAUCUUCAGUGUCAUCUUCUGCUUUCUUACAGGCUAUUUAUUUCAGUAUUUCUCUGCAUACUGAAUAAUAAGUAAAUCCCUGGAUCCUCCCUUACUUGUUUCCUAGGAGUCUCACCUAUCCUGAACUUCUGCUCCC